rnacentral:miRNA from 1 species
GCGACCGAAAAGUGACUGAAAACU